rnacentral:tRNA from 1 species
ACUUUUAAAGGAUAAUAGUAAUCCAUUGGUCUUAGGAGCCAAAAAUUCUUGGUGCAACCCCAAGUAAGAGUU